ACCUCCUGAUCAUCAUCACUGAAAUUCACUUUAUUUCGUCUCUCCUGUGUCUGAUUUACCUCUUCACCAUCAUCACUGAAAUAACUUUAUUUCAUCUCUCCGUGCCUGAUUUCGCUCACCAUCAUCACCAAAAUUCACUUUAUUUCUUCUUUCCUGUGUCUGAUUUACCUCCUCACCAUCAUCACUGAAAAUUCACUUUAUUUCAUCUUUUCUGUGCCUGAUUUACCUCCUCCUCCUCAACACUAAAAUAACUUUAUUUCAUCUCCUCUGUGCCUGAUUUGCCCCGCCAUCGUCACUAAAAAUAACUUUAUUUUCACUUCCUCUGUGCCUGAUUUCCCUCAUCAUCAUCAUCACCACUAAAAUAACUUUAUUUUCACCUCCUCCUUGGCCGUUAUCCCGCACCAUCCUCUCAAUUCCCUGCGGUAAAAAUUAACUUUAUUUCAUCUCUCUGUGCCUGAUUUCCCUCACCACCACCACCACCAUCAUCAUCAUCAUCAUCAUCACUUUGUUCUCUGCUAAAAAUUCACUUUAUCUUCACCUCCUCCUUGCCUGGUAUCCCGCGCCACCGUCACUAACAAUUCACUUUAUUUUCACCUCCUCUAUCCUCCGUUAUCCCGCGCCGUCCUCACCAUUUUCUGUCUCCAAAAUUCACUUUAUUUUGAUUCCUCUGUGCCUGAUUUCCCUCACCACCACCACCACCACCAUCAUCAUCAUCACUUUGUUCUCUGCUAAAAAUUCACUUUAUCUUCACCUCCUCCUUGCCUGGUAUCCCGCGCCACCGUCACUAAAAAUUCACUUUAUUUUCACCUCCUCUAUCCUCCGUUAUCCCGCGCCGUCCUCACCAUUUUCUGUCUCCAAAAUUCACUUUAUUUUGAUUCCUCUGUGCCUGAUUUCGCUCUCCAUCAUCACUAAAAUUCACUUUAUUUUCACCCUUUCCUUGCCGGAUUCCCUCACCAUCCUCACUUUGUUCUCUGUUCAAAACAACUUGAUUUUCACCUCCUCUACCCCCCUUAUCCCGCGCCGUCCUCACCAAAAAUAACUUUAUUUUCACCUCCUCCUCGCCCCAUUUCCCUCACCGUCACCACUUUGUUCUCUGUCCAAAAUUCACUUUAUUUCGUCCCUCCUGUGUCCGAUUCACCGCGUCGACAUCACUAAAAAUUCACUUUAUUUCCCCCCUCUCUUCCCCGUUAUCCCGCGCCGUCCUCACCAUUUUCUGUCUCCAAAAUUCACUUGAUUUCGAUUCCUCUGUGCCUGAUUUCGCUCUCCAUCAUCACUAAAAUUCACUUUAUUUUCACCCUUUCCUUGCCGGAUUCCCUCACCAUCCUCACUUUGUUCUCUGUUCAAAACAACUUGAUUUUCACCUCCUCUACCCCCCUUAUCCCGCG
rnacentral:lncRNA from 12 species